rnacentral:snRNA from 1 species
AUACUUACCUGGUGUCGGACAUCCGGCGAUCAUAAAGGUCGGUGUCCCGUGCCGAGGCCUAUCCAUUGCACUGCGGUCGGCUGAAGCACGCCACUACUCCGAAGUGGGGUAGGUGGGGCAUGAAAUUUUUCUUAGUGGGGCAAGGCGUACGCGCCAGCCGCA